UGGGGUACACCAAUUGGUAGUCCUGGUAGUAAAGAGAAAACAGGACUGAUAAUCUCCUGCAUCAUUGAUGUCGGGUCAGUAGGUGACCUCUGAAGGUACCUGUGACACCCUUGUAACUGUUGAUUGAGGUCACUGUACUAUAGUUCGGUUAAUUUUCUCUAUCACUGUAUCUUCAGUACUUGCUUUGAUUAGAAAAGAACAAGUUAAAAGAGAGAUUGGAAAUGCAUGAGAUGGAGGAAUGAGUCAUCCAUGAGGAUAUUCGUUACUCAAGCAUAGAAUCCCUGUGGAUAUAAGAGGCAAGAGGAGGUCACAACUCGGUUUUGAACUGGACAAUGUCUGAGGACGACUGGAUAGUGGCUUGAAGGGCUGUUACAGAUAAUGAGGUGGCUCGCCGCUGAAGCACUCGUUAAGAAAUGGCAAGUAAUCUCAGAAGAGUUGAUAGCCUUCUGAUACCAACUAGUUUCCACACUGAGGUAAUAGAUUAUCUGGUUCUAUAAUUGUUCUCAAGCAUCAUGCUCUUUCUAAUGUAACCAUGCAUGCGCAUGUUUAGAGCAAAGAGCAUAGAAUAACUGUUCACAAGGUGAGUUCUCUCUGUAGAGGUGCAGGGUUUGGCCGUUCCUUGGAUGAAAUGGUUUUGGUUUUUCUCAAAUUGACUAAUGGCUACAGAAUAGGUUGCUUUAUUUGGCUAGACUUUGACUAAUUUGGCUUUGGGCUAAAAGGAUUCAAAGACGUUUGAUGGAGUGUUGCUAUAGUUUCUGCUUUUAUGCAUCUUGGAUGUCAUUUAUUGGAUCUGCACAAAACUCACUAGCAAAGGAUGAUACUAAAUGUUCAUGAUUGUGGUCGUUAUAGCGGCCUUUGUAUUUCACUAACUCUUCUAUUUUUUAUUUUUUCAUUCAUGUGAAUUUCCGUAUAAAGUUCUCCUAAUAAUAUGUUUGGUCAUCAGUUGUUCCAGGAGCUGCUUAUCAACUUAUGUGGUCAAUCUUAUCAAUGGACUGGUCUAUCACUACCUUGUAUUCAGCAGUUUGGAUGAAGUUAGAUGGUGACAAACAACCAAUACAGAAAGCAAAGAAUGCAAUAGUUUAACUGAGUUUUCCACUCUAGGAUCUCCUAAGUUUUCUUCUAGUGAUCAGAAAUUUGUAGGAAAACCUGUAAUCAACUGUACUGUUUGUAAAACUAUCAAUAUUGAAUUUGCCAAGCCAACUACAGGUUAAUUUUUAUCCA